CCUACGGGGCGCAGCAGUGGGGAAUAUUGCACAAUGGGGGAAACCCUGAUGCAGCGAAGCCGCGUGAGGGAAGAAGUAUUUCGGUACGGAAAGCUCUAUCAGCAGGGAAGAAAAUGACGGUACCUGACUAAGAAGCCACGGCUAACUACGUGCCAGAAGCGGGGGUAAUACGUAGGGGGCAGGCGUUAUCCGGAUUUACUGGGGGUAAGGGGAGCGUAGACGGCAGCGAAAGUCUGGAGUGAAAUCCCAUGGCUUAACCAUGGAACUGCGUUGGAAACUGUGCAGCUAGAGUGCGGGGGAGGUAGGCGGAAUUCGUAGUGUAGCGGUGAAAUGCGUAGAUAUUAGGAGGAACCCCAAUGGCGAAGGCAGCUUGCUGCACUGUUACUGACGUUGAAGCUCGAAAGCGUGGGUAUCGAACAGGAUUAGAUACCCCUGUAGUC
rnacentral:rRNA from 1 species